rnacentral:rRNA from 1 species
GACGAACGCUGGCGGCGUGCUUAACACAUGCAAGUCGAGCGAGUGGAUUCCCUUCGGGGAUGAAGCUAGCGGCGGACGGGUGAGUAACACGUGGGCAACCUGCCUUAUAGAGGGGGAUAGCCUUCCGAAAGGAAGAUUAAUACCGCAUAACAUCAGAUUAUCGCAUGGUAGACUGAUCAAAGGAGCAAUCCGCUAUAAGAUGGGCCCGCGUCGCAUUAGCUAGUUGGUGAGGUAACGGCUCACCAAGGCGACGAUGCGUAGCCGACCUGAGAGGGUGAUCGGCCAGAUGGGGACUGAGAGACGGCCCAGACUCCUACGGGAGGCAGCAGUGGGGAAUCUUGCACAAUGGGGGAAACCCUGAUGCAGCAACGCCGCGUGAGUGAUGAAGGCCUGCGGGUUGUAAAGCUCUUUGAUCAGGGACGAUAAUGACGGUACCUGAAGAACAAGCCACGACUAAGUGCGAGCCAGCCGCCGCAGUAACAC